rnacentral:rRNA from 1 species
UACGUAGGUGGCUAGCGUUGUCCGGAUUUACUGGGCGUAAAGAGCGCGCAGGCGGUCGUUCAAGUCGAGUGUGAAAGCCCCCGGCUCAACUGGGGAGGGUCACUCGAUACUGAUCGACUCGAAGGCAGGAGAGGGAAGCGGAAUUCCCGGUGUAGUGGUGAAAUGCGUAGAUAUCAGGAGGAACACCAAUGGCGAAGGCAGCUCGCUGGGACGUGACUGACGCUGAGACGCGAAAGCGUGGGGAGCAAACAGG